rnacentral:misc_RNA from 1 species
CAUUACUUGGUCUAUUAGGUGUAGAAAUUCGUUCUCUCACAGUAGGGGGACGAACGUUCACUGUGUUCACAGCUACACGAGUAGGAAAUCAAGAUUUUUUGUUGAAUAGUGAUAGCGUGAAAUACAGGAGGAUCUGAUUAGGACAAAAACGACACUGUUUAUUUCUCAGUUGUUUUGUUUAUAUAACACCUGUGCCCGUCGUGACGUCAAGUUUUCUCAAAACAUGGAAUUAACAGAAAAGGAAGCGUUUUACAUUUAAUUCGAGCGAGAAUUAUCCUCAAGACGGAACGCUGAAUCCCACCUUAUUUUCUUUUCAGGAGUAGAUUUAUUUCUGUUUAAACUCCUUGAUCCCAUGAUAGAGAUGAAAACGGCAAGUUGUAUCUACCUAAAAGCUGGGAUGGACGACCUUCAUACCACACUGAAGUCUUGUUUCUAACUCCAGUUAUCUGACAGUAAGUCACCCUGGGUGACAUUUUCUUGUUACAGCGUCUCUGUGUAAACAGAGCCAAAAAAGUGACACGCUUAAUCUUAGAACUGGAGUAAAAAUCAAAGGACGCCGAGGGUAGAAUUUUGUAUAAGCUGUAAGAGGCGACGUUAACUAUAAGACAUUGAAAAGGGCAUUUCAAAGAAGGGAAUAAGAUCUGGCCACCCAUUUACAACAAUGAAUCUUCCUGAAAUCAUUUGCAAUCGGCGAAAAUUCGCAGACGACAGAUUGAUCAAUUUGAAAGCAGAACAAGUAUGUCCUGGGAGAUCCUUAGAGAAGCGACUCAAGGCCAUAGAACUUGAUCGAAUAAGAGUCAAAGUGAAAUUAGACCGAGAAACCGACGAACUUCGCCUUGCGUUGUUAAACCUGAGCCGGACGAAAAAACGACCGCGUACAACUGAGACGGAGAAUGAACAUUUUUCUGAAGAGUAUGGUUUCUACCACAGAAUAGCACGUAGCAAAUGAAACAUAAUAUGUAAGUCAGAGAAAUUAGUCCAAAUCACUACCAGUUUUAAUGUAGAGUAUAUGAGACCAUUCCCAGACCCUAUCGUACUAACUUUGGAUCGAACUAUU